rnacentral:rRNA from 1 species
GCACCACAAGAACGCGUGGAGCAUGUGGCUUAAUUUGACUCAACGCGGGAAAUCUUACCGGGUCCGGACACACUGAGGAUUGACAGGCAAUAUCUCAUGUUAACGGUAAGUUUCUAACUUACCGCUUAGCAUCGAGUGUUAAAUAUGCUAGUCCUUUCAUGAUUAUGUGAUAGGUGGUGCAUGGCCGUUCUUAGUUCGUGGAGUGAUCUGUCUGCUUAAUUGCGUUUCACUAAGGGCCCAUAAAUUCAAGGUAUGUUAGCUCUCGUCGCUCUAUGGACCCCUUAACUCCAAUAUUCUUAUUGUGUUAAGCGCGUGUCUUUAUUUUAAGAGUUUUAAGACACUGCGCAUGCUGUUGGGCUCUGAAAGCAACGAACGUGACCGCAACGUCUUGUUGCCUUAAACUAGCGUAUAUUGCAAUUUAUUGCAAUAUCGCUUACAGAGGCUAUUUAAAACUAGACGGACCGCUGUUUCUUUCUUAAACCAGAGGAAGGUUGCGGCAAUAACAGGUCUGUGAUGC